UAGCGUAGGGUCCGAGCGUUGUCCGGAAUUAUUGGGCGUAAAGAGCUCGUAGGCGGUUUGUCGCGUCUGCUGUGAAAUCCCGAGGCUCAACCUCGGGCCUGCAGUGGGUACGGGCAGACUGGAGUGCGGUAGGGGAGAAUGGAAUUCCUGGUGUAGCGGUGGAAUGCGCAGAUAUCAGGAGGAACACCGAUGGCGAAGGCAGUUCUCUGGGCCGUAACUGACGCUGAGGAGCGAAAGGCGUGGGGAGCGAACAGG
rnacentral:rRNA from 1 species